CAUCAUUUUCUUCCUAUCACUCCAAAACCAAACAUUUAUGAGAGAGGAAAAAAAACCAAAAGAAAAACGAAAUUAGGGUUCAAGAAUGGGUGAAGUGCACCAACAAGAAGAACCCACCAUUUUAAUUAGGGUUCUGAAUCCCAAGUGUCAAAUGUGUUGUGAUCAGACCCAACAGCUGCAGCGCCUGCAAACGACGCCGCCGCCGGCGAGGAGGUCUAGUUUGCCCCAUCUGCCUCCGAGCCUCAGGAGAACUGUCUCUGAUCUCACUCCUUCGCUGGUUAAAGCUUGCCAUCGUUCUCUGAACUCUUAAGAUACCACCCCUGAUUCAGCGAAGUUGAGAAAGAUGGGGGAUCUAAUGAGGGAGAUGAUCAAAGGUGUGAUGAAGUUAUGAAAAGUGAAGAAGAAGGAGAUGAAGAGUGUGUUGUUGCUGAAAUUGGCAAAGUCCCAUCUCAGGAUGAAUUGCAUAGAAAUUCUGAAGAAUAUGUAAGCGUGGAAUGGGCAUGGAGAUUUGGGUUGUUUUAAAAGUGGGAAGAUGAAGAUUUUUGUUUAGUUUUUGAGGUGGAGAUGUUUCUGAAAUUGAUUUCUUUUGGGUAAGAUGAUGAGAGGAAGAAGAUGAUGGAGAGAUUGAAGAUUUUUUUAUUUAGGGAUUUUGGCUAGGUACUAAAUUGAAGUUUUUCAAGGUUUCCAAAUAAAUUCCCCAAUUUUAAAUCCACGUGGAAAUUUCACAUGGGAAAUAAUGAGCCAAAUCACCCUUCCCGUUAACUCUAAGACCCAAGAUUUUAAAAUUUAAUAGAUAAAUAAUUUCCAACUCACGCAUAGGAUUAUGUGUAAGCGUGAGAGGAACUUGACUCGUGUUUAAUGUUUGGAUUAAUAUUAUGAAGAAGAAAGUUCAGGAAAAUGACUAAGAAUAGUAAUAUAGUCGUUAUAGGCUAUAGCACGAGUUUCAUUCCCUUCCGCCUUAGGGCGAAAACGUUAGUAAAUGACUAAAUUGCACUUAAAGACACGAUGGAAACU